GAUGAACGCUGGCGGCGUGCCUAAUGCAUGCAAGUCGAGCGAACAGACGAGGAGCUUGCUCCUUUGACGUUAGCGGCGGACGGGUGAGUAACACGUGGGUAACCUACCUAUAAGACUGGGAUAACUUCGGGAAACCGGAGCUAAUACCGGAUAAUAUUUCGAACCGCAUGGUUCGAUAGUGAAAGAUGGCUUUGCUAUCACUUAUAGAUGGACCUGCGCCGUAUUAGCUAGUUGGUAAGGUAACGGCUUACCAAGGCAACGAUACGUAGCCGACCUGAGAGGGUGAUCGGCCACACUGGAACUGAGACACGGUCCAGACUCCUACGGGAGGCAGCAGUAGGGAAUCUUCCGCAAAGGGCGAAAGCCUGACGGAGCAACGCCGCGUGAGUGAUGAAGGUCUUCGGAUCGUAAAACUCUGUUAUUAGGGAAGAACAAACGUGUAAGUAACUGUGCACGUCUUGACGGUACCUAAUCAGAAAGCCACGGCUAACUACGUG
rnacentral:rRNA from 1 species